UACGUAGGGGGCUAGCGUUGUCCGGAUUUAUUGGGCGUAAAGAGCGUGUAGGCGGCCAGGUAGGUCUGCUGUGAAAACUCGAGGCUCAACCUCGAGACGUCGGCGGAAACCAUCUGGCUAGAGUCCGGAAGAGGAGAGUGGAAUUCCUGGUGUAGCGGUGAAAUGCGUAGAUAUCGGGAGGAACGCCUGAGGCGAAGGCGGGCUACUGGGCCGAUACUGACGCUGAUGCGCGAAAGCCAGGGGAGCAAACGGG
rnacentral:rRNA from 1 species